GACGGAGGAUGCAAGUGUUAUCCGGAAUCACUGGGCGUAAAGCGUCUGUAGGUGGUUAAAUAAGUCAACUGUUAAAUCUUGAGGCUCAACCUCAAAAUCGCAGUCGAAACUGUUAGACUAGAGUAUAGUAGGGGUAAAGGGAAUUUCCAGUGGAGCGGUGAAAUGCGUAGAGAUUGGAAAGAACACCGAUGGCGAAGGCACUUUACUGGGCUAUUACUAACACUGAGAGACGAAAGCUAGGGUAGCAAAUGGG
rnacentral:rRNA from 1 species